rnacentral:rRNA from 2 species
GAGUUUGAUCUUGGCUCAGAUUGAACGCUGGCGGCAUGCCUUACACAUGCAAGUCGAACGGCAGCACGGGAGCUUGCUCCUGGUGGCGAGUGGCGAACGGGUGAGUAAUGCAUCGGAACGUAUCCUGGAGUGGGGGAUAACGUAGCGAAAGUUACGCUAAUACCGCAUAUUCUGUGAGCAGGAAAGCGGGGGACCUUCGGGCCUCGCGCUCUUGGAGCGGCCGAUGUCGGAUUAGCUAGUUGGUGAGGUAAAGGCUCACCAAGGCGACGAUCCGUAGCAGGUCUGAGAGGAUGAUCUGCCACACUGGAACUGAGACACGGUCCAGACUCCUACGGGAGGCAGCAGUGGGGAAUUUUGGACAAUGGGGCAACCCUGAUCCAGCCAUGCCGCGUGAGUGAAGAAGGCCU